AAAAAAAAAAAAAAAUACAUGUAGUUAUAGAAAAUGUUAACUUGGUAAUAUAUAGAAUGGAGUCUUUCCUUGUCAUCCUUAGAAAUCCUUGAUUUGACUGCUGAAUGUUUUUUGUUUUUGCUGCCUAAUUUUUGUAUACAUGAAGUGUUUGUGUGUCCAAGUUAUUGGGAUACUUGUUGCGUUUUCCCCUGUUUUUAGAUGUAGUUGUUCAUUGUAUAUAUCAUCAUCUGCAUUGGGAUAUGUCUGAUUUACCCUGUGAUCAAAUCUUGUAAAAAAAAACCUGUUGAAAAGGCUAAGUUUGACAUCCUAAUAGAUUGACUUUGAAUCCAUUACUUCAUAUCUGUGAUAAACAAAAUAUUCGUAAUAAAACUACAUGAUAUUUCACCAAACCUCUACGUACCCAGUAGAAGUGUAUAAUUUGACAGGGUACAUUCUAAACGCUCUCGCAACACAAACUUUCAGGGACGGACUGGAGAGUGAAAUAGAAUGUGCCAAAGUUUCUGAUCUGAACUCGUUAAUUUAUUAAUGAUCAUGUCACUAAAGAGGAGGAAUCUUUAGGUAACACAAAAUUAUAUUUUCAAUAAGUGCAUGUUUAAAACAUGUUUCCCUUUUUUAUAAUGAGCCCUUUUUAGCUGCCAUUGAUGGCAAAUGGUGUGUAAAAAUAUUUUUAAUAUGUUUAUUAAGACCCACUAAUUUUGUUCACAAUGAGGUUUUAUAUUGAAGAUUUCAUUGAUGUGCAUAAUAAUUAAUUUCUGUGAAAUUUUUCUUUACAUAGACAGUUUAUAAGAUAAGACUGCCAACUUUUUUUUAUUUAGAAGUGCUGAGUUUUUAAGUGCUUGGAUUAGAUGACUUCAUUGAAGCCUUUACAACGAUGUUCGAUGUUAGCAUUAUGUUCUGAAAUCAUUGUUUUACAGCUCAGUUUGAGUGCAAAUGAAGUAAGGUUAAAUUGUUUGGAAAUCUUUUAUUUAAUAAAACACAUCAGUUUAUAUGUAAAGUGUGGUUGAAGUUCAUAAUAAUCUCUUUUCCACACCUUGAUUAUUUUGCUUUAAUGAUAUGAAUUUUCCAAAAAAAAAUUGGAAUUUUACUAAAGUGUUUCAAAAGUGUUAACAAUAUCAGAAGUCUUAGUCAAAAAUUAAUGUAGUUAUCUUUAACUAAUUCAUGACGUCUUUGUUUGGCAAAAUAUGACAGUAGUCAUCUUUUAACCCAACUAGUAGUCAUUAAUUGGAGUAAAUGGCAUAUCUAUUAGUAUGAGAUGAUGAACUUCAAGAAUUUUGGCAAAUUUAUAUUACCACAAAUGUACUAAAUGAAAUUUUUCUCUCUAAUUGUGAAUUGAAUUUGUGUAAAAUUCAAACUGAGAUGUUAAGAACAGCAAUAUUUUAGAUAAAAACUGUGUUAAAUUUUGAAUAAAAAAAUUGAAACUGCC
rnacentral:misc_RNA from 1 species